CCUACGGGUGGCAGCAGUGGGGAAUAUUGGGCAAUGGGCGCAAGCCUUACCCAGCAAUACCGCGUGAGUGAAGAAGGUCUUCGGAUUGUAAAGCUCUUUGAUCAGGGACGAACAGAUGACGGUACCUGAAGAACAAGCCCCGGCUAACUACGUGCCAGCAGCCGCGGUAAAACGUAGGGGGCGAGCGUUGUCCGGAAUGACUGGGCGUAAAGGGUGCGCAGACGGCAAUGCAAGCCAGGAGUGAAAGCCCGGGGCCCAACCCCGGGACUGCUCUUGGAACUGCAUGGCUGGAGUACAGGAGGGGCAGGCGGAAUUCCUAGUGUAGCGGUGAAAUGCGUAGAUAUUAGGAGGAACACCGGUGGCGAAGGCGGCCUGCUGGACUGUGACUGACGUUGAGGCCCGAAGGCGUGGGGAGCAAACAGGAUUAGAUACCCGAGUAGUC
rnacentral:rRNA from 1 species